rnacentral:misc_RNA from 1 species
GUGCUAAUACAUAAAGGGACUACAUUCUUUCCACAAUGAUACCAAACACAUUUAUGGCAGAAUAAUGGCCCCUUUUUAGCUCUUGGCUAUGCACAACUUUUGGUCAUUUGGACUAUAUUUUCUUCCAUGGGAGAAGUUAAUGCCAUCAAGGAGGAUUUAUUUUAAUUGUUCAUCUGAUCCUUGUACCAAGAUCCUUGUUUCUUGACAUGAAUUUGAUGAUCUGUAUUUCUGAUAUCAAGACAUUUCAGAGAUGACAUGAUUAAAUUAGCUUAUUCCAACAGUACACUUUAUGCAUCUAUUAUCCUUACUCUGAACUUCUGGAAAC